AUUGAACGCUGGCGGCAGGCCUAACACAUGCAAGUCGGACGGUAGCACAGAGGAGCUUGCUCCUCGGGUGACGAGUGGCGUACGGGUGAGUAAUGUCUGGGGAUCUGCCCGAUAGAGGGGGAUAACCACUGGAAACGGUGGCUAAUACCGCAUAACGUCGCAAGACCAAAGAGGGGGACCUUCGGGCCUCCCACUAUCGGAUGAACCCAGAUGGGAUUAGCUAGUAGGCGGGGUAACGGCCCACCUAGGCGACGAUCCCUAGCUGGUCUGAGAGGAUGACCAGCCACACUGGAACUGAGACACGGUCCAGACUCCUACGGGAGGCAGCAGUGGGGAAUAUUGCACAAUGGGCGCAAGCCUGAUGCAGCCAUGCCGCGUGUAUGAAGAAGGCCUUCGGGUUGUAAAGUACUUUCAGCGGGGAGGAAGGCGAUGUGGUUAAUAACCGCAUUGAUUGACGUUACCCGCAGAAGAAGCACCGGCUAACUCCGUGCCAGCCGCCGCAGUAA
rnacentral:rRNA from 1 species